GGAGCAUCCCUGGCUGCGGCCGCGCCGCUCCCGCUGCCCAUCCCGGCGCUCCCGGGGAUAUUCCCGGGGAUAUUCCCGGUGGGAGCGGGGCGAUAUCCGCCCCCCGGAGGCUCUGCAGAAGGAGGAUGAGGAAGAUGCCGCUCGGCGCACCGGCGGAGCCGCAGCCCCGGGAGGCGCCGGGCGCUGCCGGCGGAGCUGGAGGGUUUGGCAUUCCUGCAGGGACAGCUCCCAUCGGCCCCAGGAGCUGCUGGAACCUCCUUGUGCCAGCGGUGGGGACGCCGGGACAGGAGUGGCACUUGUCCCCUGCGCCAGGGAAAGGCUCCCGAGGCAGGAUUUGGCCCUGGCUGGUUCCUCUGCGCUGGGAUCCCGAGCCCUGAGCCUGCCUGGGGUUUGGAUGCUCCCUUCUGUCUGCAGCUGGGAAUGGCACCGUGCCUCCUGCUCCUCCCAAAUCCUGUGGAUUUACUGCUGUUGGCACCAUCCUGCUGGGACUGGCUCCAGCUUCAGCACAGGGAAUCUCCCGAGGGACAGAUGGGGAAAAGCAGCACUUACUACAGCCUGAGGCUACAAUUCCCUCUUUUUCUGGGCUACUCCGAGCAUCCUGGCUCUGCAGGAGGAAGGAUUCAAUGCAUUCCUGGAGGACAAAUCCUGUUGCUCUGACGGUCGUGCCGAAGGCUCGGGGUGAGGGACAGAGGGACAGAGGGACAGAAGGACAGAAGGACAGCCAGGAGCAGCUCCCGAGGACAGGAUGGACACUGCAGCUGGAGCUCAGGGCCAGCAGGGACCAGCAGGGACCAGCAGCUCCCCUGGGCAGCGAUGGAACAUCUGGGCUGGGAGAGGCUCUUCCCUGAGCUCCAGAAGCAAAGCCAGCUCCACAUCUGCUCCUCCCCAGCCUGGCUGGGCUGCACAUCCCUGCAGGAGCUCAGCUCCUCCCACCUGCAGCUGAUGGGACUGAAUAAGCAAUUUUCUGCUGGGCUUUGGGAAUUAUCCUUUGGAUCCUGCCAAUGGAUGGAUGGAUGGUGAAGAGCUCUUGGGCCGAGCAGGAGCUCAGUGCUGUUCUCUGGCAAAGGACCAAGCGCUUGCCUGCUUUCCAGUGGAUUUUUUUUUGGUCUUUAUUUCCUUCUGCUCUUUUUUUCUGCGGCUUUUUGAGGCUUUGGGUGUUUCCUGAGGAUGCUGGAGCUGCAGUGGAUCCCGUGGUGGGAGCUGGAGCCUUUGGAAGAGCAGGAGCUGAGCUGGUGCUGGGCUUUCAGACUGGCAGAGGCUCGUCCUGUGCUGGGUGGCCUCAGGAGGGUCCUUGUGCCACAGCUGGAGCAUCCCAGUGGAUCCCAGUCCAGGUGGGACCAUGGAGCAGGAGCAGGAACGGGGGGAAGCCAAACCCCGGCGAGGGGAAUGUCACAGUGAGGAGAAUGUCACCCUCAGGGACAAUUAAAUUGCGUUUAAUAAACCCCAUUGGCUC
rnacentral:lncRNA from 1 species